rnacentral:rRNA from 1 species
GUCAAUAGCCUAACGGCUGAACCAGCAACUUGGAGGAAUGUAUAGCGAAAGCUAGUUGCAUUAAAUUCGAUUAAUUCGAAGUUAAUGCAUCAUCGACUAUGUCGAAUAAAGUUCUAGGUAGAGUUAUGAUAAUGACAUUUUCUAUCUAUGUGUCUUGACCAAAUCACGUGCCAGCAGUCGCGGUAAUACGUGGAAGACUAGUGUUAUUCAUCUUUAAUAGGUUUAAAGGGUACUUAGACGGUAAAUUUAGCCCAAAUAAAAACAAAGGGUACUAAUUAUACUAGAGUUAUUAUAGAGGAGGGUGUGUACUAGUGGUGUAGAGAUGAAAUUCUGUCAUACCAUUAUGACAGGCAACGGCGAAAGCAACCUUUAGAUAAAAACUGACGUUAAAGGACGAAGGCUUUGUGUCACCAACAGGAUUAGAUACCCAAGCAGUCUUAGCAGACAAUUAUGAAUGCCAUAGAUAAGAAAGGAUGUAUUUUUGUCUAUAAAUGAAAGUGUAAGCAUUCCACCUCAAGAGUAAUGUGGCAACGCAGAAACUGAAAUCAUUAGACCGUUUCUGAAACCAGUAGUGAAGUAUGUUGUUUAAUUAGAUGGUCCGCAAAAAACCUUACCACAAUUUGUAUAUUAUUAGCUUAAUACAAGAGUUGCACGGCUGUCUUCAGUUAAUGUCGUGAGAUUUUGGUUAGUUCCAUUAAAUUAACGUAAACCCUUACUUUAUUUAUAUUAUAAAGUAGUUCACCGCUAUAUUGGAUAUGAUAAGAGGGACUAAGACAAGUCAUCAUGGCCUGAAUAUUGUGGGCUAUAGACGUGCCACAUAAGCCUAUACAAAGGGAUGCGAAAUUGUGAAAUUGAGC